UGGGGAAUUUUGGACAAUGGGGGCAACCCUGAUCCAGCAAUGCCGCGUGUGUGAAGAAGGCCUUCGGGUUGUAAAGCACUUUUGUCCGGAAAGAAAACGUCGUGGUUAAUACCCGUGGCGGCUGACGGUACCGGAAGAAUAAGCACCGGCUAACUACGUGCCAGCAGCCGCGGUAAUACGUAGGGUGCAAGCGUUAAUCGGAAUUACUGGGCGUAAAGCGUGCGCAGGCGGUCCGCUAAGACAGAUGUGAAAUCCCCGGGCUUAACCUGGGAACUGCAUUUGUGACUGGCGGGCUAGAGUAUGGCAGAGGGGGGUAGAAUUCCACGUGUAGCAGUGAAAUGCGUAGAGAUGUGGAGGAAUACCGAUGGCGAAGGCAGCCCCCUGGGCCAAUACUGACGCUCAUGCACGAAAGCGUGGGGGAGCAAACAGGAUUAGAUACCCUGGUAGUCCACGCCCUAAACGAUGUCAACUAGUUGUCGGGUCUUCAUUGACUUGGUAACGUAGCUAACGCGUGAAGUUGACCGCCU
rnacentral:rRNA from 1 species